AUGGGACUGAUGAUGAAAGUGAACUUGUCAUGUUUCUGGCCCGUCUGCCUGCUUUGUUUUUCCCCUCAGCUCUCACCUCUCCCAUCAAGCUCAUCUGGUUCACCUUCAUGCUGCUGCGCUAGAGCACAAUCAGGCUCAUGUCUUCCACCUGUUCACCAGGAGUUAUUAGUCGGCUCUCAGGCAGGCAGAUGGUGCCAGAUUUUUGAAAGCCUUGGUCCCACGUCAGAUUCUUCACUGGCUUCUGUUUUCUGGACUCGACCCUGCUUCUGCCUUUCGACCUCUGCCUCCUGCCUUGCCCCUGGAUUUGACUGCCUGACAUUGCCUGCACGUGUUGAACCCUUUUCUGUGCCCUGACCACUGCUUUUCGCCUGCCCCUCAGAUAAGUCUUGCCUUGUCCUGCCACCCUGAUCCUGCCUCAACCCCUUGACCUCCUACUUCUAUUUCUUUCUGGAUGUGUCACCUGUUACUACCACUGAGCUGCCUGAACUCCUCAUCCCCCACAACACUUUAAGAAGAGGUUCCUGUCCCAUUGCCGGUGGUGGCCUGCCCCCUACCCUGAUCCUCAAUAAAGAUCUUAUUGUUUUUU